rnacentral:piRNA from 1 species
UACAUGCAGGAAAAACUCCAAUAUUGUUUA